UUGAACUAUCUAACAUUUUCUUUGCUUGAAUUUUUUUAGUGUAAAAGUUGAAUUUGUCAGAUUAGUCUUAGUGUCCAGUCUUUAAAGUGUAAUUGGAGAGCUGAUUAUUGAAAUAUAAACUGAACUGCAAUUUGUUGGAUUCAAAACUUGGACAGUGUAUUAUACUAAACUAUUCGGUUCUUAUCAUUACAAAAUGAUUUGUUGUUGUCUAUCCUUGUGCAUAUCUCUACAAAUUUUUAUUCUCCAAAUAUGAAUGUUGUCAAUGAGAACUUCCUCCCUCUGCUCAAACGCCUUGAUGACUGCAUAGCGUAUGUAGAAAACAAUCCACAGUAUGCUGAAUCCGGCGUUUACUUACUCAAAUUUCGACAACUGCAGUCUCGAGCAUUGGGUAUGAUUCGCUCUCAUGUACUUUCUGUACUCGAAAGUGCGUCUUCUCAGGUUCAGUCAGCAAUCUAGAGCAAUAGUAGCAGCAAGGCAUCUCUUGCUGAGGGUGUAGAGGCAUCUGUUAUAUAUGUUCGUUUCAAGGCAGCGGCAAGUGAGGUUCAUGCGGCCAGAAACUGCACAGGGCAUAUUUGUUAACUUCAAAAACUUGUACCAUUACAAUGGGAACAAGCUUCCUUUUGCUGCUGCUCAAAUUGGCCAGGCUUUCAGAAAUGAGGUUCUUAAUUUUCUUAUCUUUGGACUUUAGCACUUAUGUUUGCAUAGGAUGCUCAUAUUAUUUCUAAUUUGUAACAGGUCUUUGUAACUAGUAUUUUGGUCCUCUCCUUCUUAUAAGAAUAGAAAAUAGCCCUGUAAUGUAGCUGUUGCAUUC